GUGGGAGGGGGCUUGCCCCCGAUAGCGGUGGGUCAGAUACAAAUAGGCUUACUGACGCACUGCAAUCGGGGGCAAGCCCCCUCCCAC
rnacentral:misc_RNA from 1 species